GACGAACGCUGGCGGCGUGCUUAACACAUGCAAGUCGAGCGGUAAGGCCCUUUCGGGGGUACACGAGCGGCGAACGGGUGAGUAACACGUGGGUGACCUGCCCUCAGCUCUGGGAUAAGCCUGGGAAACCGGGUCUAAUACUGGAUAUGACUCCAUGACGCAUGUUGUGGGGUGGAAAGCCUUGUGCGGCUGAGGAUGGGCCCGCGGCCUAUCAGCUUGUUGGGU
rnacentral:rRNA from 1 species